AAGCCUGAUGCAGCGACGCCGCGUGCGGGAUGAAGGCCUUCGGGUUGUAAACCGCUUUCAGCAGGGACGAGGCGAAAGUGACGGUACCUGCAGAAGAAGCCCCGGCUAACUACGUGCCAGCAGCCGCGGUAAUACGUAGGGGGCAAGCGUUACCCGGAUUCAUUGGGCGUAAAGCGCGCGUAGGCUGCCCAGUAGGUCGAGAGUUAAAUCCGGGGGCUCAACCCCCGUCCGCUCCCGAUACCGCUGGGAUUCGAGUCUGGUAGGGGAAGGUGGAAUUCCCAGUGUAGCGGUGGAAUGCGCAGAUAUUGGGAAGAACACCGGUGGCGAAGGCGGCCUUCUGGGCCAUGACUGACGCUGAGGCGCGAAAGCUAGGGGAGCGAACAGGAUUAGAUACCCUGGUAGUCCUAGCCGUAAACGAUGGGCACUAGGUGUGGGGAGGCUUUACUUUCCGUGCCGACGCUAACGCAUUAAGUGCCCCGCCUGGGGAGUACGGCCGCAAGGCUAAAACUCAAAGGAAUUGACGGGGGCCCGCACAAGCAGCGGAGCAUGUGGCUUAAUUCGAAGCAACGCGAAGAACCUUACCAGGGCUUGACACUCAGAUGAAGCGGCGGAAACGCCGUGGCCGAAAGGAGUCUGAACAGGUGGUGCAUGGCUGUCGUCAGCACGUGUCGUGAGAUGUUGGGUUAAGUCCGCAACGAGCGCAACCCUCGUCGCAUGUUGCCAGCGGUUCGGCCGGG
rnacentral:rRNA from 1 species